AUUGAACGCUGGCGGCAGGCCUAACACAUGCAAGUCGAGCGGAUGAAGGGAGCUUGCUCCUGGAUUCAGCGGCGGACGGGUGAGUAAUGCCUAGGAAUCUGCCUGGUAGUGGGGGAUAACGUCCGGAAACGGGCGCUAAUACCGCAUACGUCCUGAGGGAGAAAGUGGGGGAUCUUCGGACCUCACGCUAUCAGAUGAGCCUAGGUCGGAUUAGCUAGUUGGUGGGGUAAAGGCCUACCAAGGCGACGAUCCGUAACUGGUCUGAGAGGAUGAUCAGUCACACUGGAACUGAGACACGGUCCAGACUCCUACGGGAGGCAGCAGUGGGGAAUAUUGGACAAUGGGCGAAAGCCUGAUCCAGCCAUGCCGCGUGUGUGAAGAAGGUCUUCGGAUUGUAAAGCACUUUAAGCUGGGAGGAAGGGCAGUAAGUUAAUACCUUGCUGCUUUGACGUUACCAACAGAAUAAGCACCGGCUAACUUCGUG
rnacentral:rRNA from 1 species